rnacentral:rRNA from 1 species
UGGGGAAUUUUGCGCAAUGGGGGGAAACCCUGACGCAGCAACGCCGCGUGAGUGAUGAAGGCCUUCGGGUCGUAAAGCUCUGUCAGAGGGGAAGAAGUGCAGGGGUGCUAAUAUCACCUUUGUUUGACGGUACCCUCAAAGGAAGCACCGGCUAACUCCGUGCCAGCAGCCGCGGUAAUACGGAGGGUGCGAGCGUUGUUCGGAAUUAUUGGGCGUAAAGCGCGUGUAGGCGGUUUGGUAAGUCUGAUGUGAAAGCCCCGGGNUCAACCUGGGAAUGGCAUUGGAAACUUUCAGACUUGAAUACAGGAGAGGGUAGUGGAAUUCCAGUGUAGGAUGAAAUCCGUAGAUAUUAGGAGGAACACCGGUGGCGAAGGCGGCACCUGGACCGAUAUGACGCUG